rnacentral:rRNA from 1 species
UACAGAGGGGGCAAGCGUUGUUCGGAAUUACUGGGCGUAAAGGGCGCGUAGGCGGCCCGUUAAGUCGGACGUGAAAUCCCUCAGCUUAACUGGGGAACUGCGUCUGAUACUGGAUGGCUUGGAUUUGGGAGAGGGAUGUGGAAUUCCUGGUGUAGCGGUGAAAUGCGCAGAUAUCAGGAGGAACACCAAUGGCGAAGGCAGCUCGCUGGGACGGUACUGACGCUGAGACGCGAAAGCGUGGGGAGCGAACAGG